rnacentral:tRNA from 3 species
CAUUACAAGUGCGACGCUCUGACCUUUGAGCUAAACAGGC